rnacentral:ribozyme from 13 species
UUUUUUUUUUUUUUUUUUUUUUUUUUUUUUG